rnacentral:rRNA from 1 species
CCUACGGGAGGCAGCAGUGAGGAAUAUUGGUCAAUGGACGAGAGUCUGAACCAGCCAAGUAGCGUGAAGGAUGACUGCCCUAUGGGUUGUAAACUUCUUUUAUAUGGGAAUAAAACGUUCCACGUGUGGGAUUUUGUAUGUACCAUAUGAAUAAGGAUCGGCUAACUCCGUGCCAGCAGCCGCGGUAAUACGGAGGAUCCGAGCGUUAUCCGGAUUUAUUGGGUUUAAAGGGAGCGUAGGUGGAUUGUUAAGUCAGUUGUGAAAGUUUGCGGCUCAACCGUAAAAUUGCAGUUGAAACUGACAGUCUUGAGUACAGUAGAGGUGGGCGGAAUUCGUGGUGUAGCGGUGAAAUGCUUAGAUAUCACGAAGAACUCCGAUUGCGAAGGCAGUUCACUGGACUGCAACUGACACUGAGGCUCGAAAGUGUGGGUAUCAAACAGGAGUAGAUACCCCUGUAGUC